GACAGAGGGUGCAAACGUUGUUCGGAAUUACUGGGCGUAAAGCGCGUGUAGGUGGCGAGGCAAGUCGGGUGUGAAAGCCCUGAGCUCAACCCAGGAAGUGCACUCGAUACUGCCUAGCUAGAGUCCCGGAGAGGUUGGUGGGAACUCUCGGUGUAGAGGUGAAAUUCGUAGAUAUCGAGAAGAACACCGGUGGCGAAGGCGGCCAACUGGACGGUGACUGACACUGAGACGCGAAAGCGUGGGGAGCGAACAGG
rnacentral:rRNA from 1 species